rnacentral:lncRNA from 1 species
GCUGCCUCCAGGUUCACAGCUGGCAUCAGCACACUGACUGGAGAGUCUUGAGGUCCCAGCUAAGUCCACAGCACCAACUCUGCUGUGACAGUGGGAAGAACUGGAAUUUCAAACUGCAUGGUGACCCAGUUACACAUACAUCGACAGAUGAUUGGAUUAAGAAGAUGUUUUGUUUUUGGAAACAGAGAAAAGGCAGAAGGUACCACAAGAGUAAUUCACAGGUUAACAUCUGGAGUAUGUCCAGGCUUAUAUGCUGUCUGCACACAAUAUUUAAUGGUUGGCUCAAGUUUUCCUUCACCUAAGGCUGCAAGGAAAUUAACAUUUGCAAGAUUGUGGGUUUUGAGCCAAAUUACACACAUUAGGAAAUUUCACUGUGGUACUUUGCAGACUCUUUCAAACCGGACACUAAGGUAUUUCUGUACUUUGAAAAUGUCUUGAAUGAUUUUAUUGGUUUCUUUCCUCAUUUUCUCAGUUUUUAAUUUCUGGAACAUCUAUUAUUUGGAUAUUGAAUCUACUGAAGUUUUUCUACUGUAUUUUACUUUACCCUCCUAUUUUUCCAUUUUCUUAUCAUUUUAGCAUACUUUCUAGAAAAUUGCAUUCUUCCAAAACUAUUCACUGAGUUUUUCAUGUCUACUCCUCUUUUUUUAAACUCUGAAAUCUAUGACCUUUUGUUUUCUGAGUCUUUUCUUCUUUUUUCUUUUUUGCUAAGAACUCCAGCAUUUCCAAAGUAUAAGGAAUAAAUUUGAAAUUUUUUUUCUAUUGAAGUAUAAG